ACGAACGCUGGCGGCGUGCUUAACGCAUGCAAGUCGAACGGAAAGGCCCUGCUUUUGUGGGGUGCUCGAGUGGCGAACGGGUGAGUAACACGUGAGUAACCUGCCCUUGACUUUGGGAUAACUUCAGGAAACUGGGGCUAAUACCGGAUAGGAGCUCCUGCUGCAUGGUGGGGGUUGGAAAGUUUCGGCGGUUGGGGAUGGACUCGCGGCUUAUCAGCUUGUUGGUGGGGUAGUGGCUUACCAAGGCUUUGACGGGUAGCCGGCCUGAGAGGGUGACCGGCCACAUUGGGACUGUGAUACGGCCCAGACUCCUACGGGAGGCAGCAGUGGGGAAUAUUGCACAAUGGGCGGAAGCCUGAUGCAGCAACGCCGCGUGCGGGAUGACGGCCUUCGGGUUGUAAACCGCUUUCGCCUGUGACGAAGCGUGAGUGACGGUAAUGGGUAAAGAAGCACCGGCUAACUACGUG
rnacentral:rRNA from 1 species